rnacentral:rRNA from 1 species
UACGGAGGGUGCGAGCGUUGUCCAGAAUCACUGGGCGUAAAGGGCGCGUAGGUGGCGCGGGAAGUCAACGGUGAAAGUUCGGGGCUCAACCCUGAAUCGGCCGUCGAUACUCCCGGGCUCGAGCACUGUAGAGGCAGAUGGAAUUCCGGGUGUAGCGGUGGAAUGCGUAGAGAUCGGGAGGAAGGCCGGUGGCGAAGGCGGCGCUCUGGAACGUUUCUGACACUGAGGCUCGAAAGCGUGGGGAGCAAACAGG